UACAGAGGUGCCGAGCGUUAGGCGGAAUCACUGGGCUUAAAGCGUGUGUAGGCGGACUUCUAAGUACCUUGUGAAAUCCCACGGCUUACCCGUGGAACUGCUGGGUAUACUGGUCGUCUUGAGCCACCUAGGGGCCAGCGGAACAAAUGGUGGAGCGGUGAAAUGCGUAGAUAUCAUUUGGAACGCCAAUGGUGAAAACAGGUAGCUGGGGCUGUGCUGACGCUGAGACACGAAAGCCAGGGGAGCGAACGGG
rnacentral:rRNA from 1 species